rnacentral:rRNA from 1 species
CAACUCUCAACAACGGAUAUCUUGGCUCCCGUAACGAUGAAGAACGCAGCGAAAUGCGAUACGUAGUGUGAAUUGCAGAAUUCCGUGAACCAUCGAAUCUUUGAACGCAAAUUGCGCUCGAGGCUUCGGCCAAGAGCAUGUCUGCCUCGGCGUC